UCUCCUGAAGCUCAAUGGUAGAGCGUCCGUCUAGGGUGCGGAAGGUCAUAGGUUUGAUUCCUGUUUAAAGAA